rnacentral:lncRNA from 1 species
GCAAAUACAACCCAAGAGGCCUAGCUGGAAUAAUGUAAGAUUGCACAUUAGGAGGGAGGGCGUAGAGGUGGAUACCUGAGUCCAGCACACCAGGAGGUUGACAAGAGCAUGGCCAAGAACUGCCAAAGAAAAGCCAGUGUCUGGGAACUGCUAAAGCAGCCACUGAUGCUUGAACAGCACCUUCUACUUUACAAAGAAUUCUCACAGGUCAGAGUUUCUGGGAUAUAGUAGGUAAUACUUUCAAGACGUCGUCCUCUUCUGUGAAAAGUGGUCCUUCCAAUGGGAAGAAGGAAAGCAGGCUACACUGUCUAUAGUUCGUGGGCACUGGUCCUUUGUUAUCUCCAUGAUACAUAAAAAUAUUAUUAGUGUGAA